GAUGAACGCUGGCGGCGUGCUUAACACAUGCAAGUCGAACGAAGCACUUUAACGGAUUUUUCGGAAUGAAGUUCUUGUGACUGAGUGGCGGACGGGUGAGUAACGCGUGGGUAACCUGCCUCAUACAGGGGGAUAACAGUUAGAAAUGACUGCUAAUACCGCAUAAGACCACAGUACCGCAUGGUACAGGGGUAAAAGCCGAGACGGUAUGAGAUGGACCCGCGUCUGAUUAGGUAGUUGGCGGGGGAACGGCCCACCAAGCCUACGAUCAGUAGCCGGACUGAGAGGUUGAACGGCCACAUUGGAACUGAGAAACGGUCCAGACUCCUACGGGAGGCAGCAGUGGGGAAUAUUGGGCAAUGGGCGAAAGCCUGACCCAGCGACGCCGCGUGAGGGAAGACGGUCUUCGGAUUGUAAACCUCUUUUAUUAGGGACGAAACAUGACGGUACCUAAUGAAUAAGCCACGGCUAACUACGUG
rnacentral:rRNA from 1 species